GAUGAACGCUAGCUACAGGCUUAACACAUGCAAGUCGAGGGGAAACGAUAGGGAAAGCUUGCUUUUUCUAGGCGUCGACCGGCGCACGGGUGAGUAACGCGUAUCCAACCUGCCCAUCACUUGGGGAUAACCUUGCGAAAGUAAGACUAAUACCCAAUGACGUCUCCAGAAGACAUCUGAAGGAGAUUAAAGAUUUAUCGGUGAUGGAUGGGGAUGCGUCUGAUUAGCUUGUUGGCGGGGUAACGGCCCACCAAGGCGACGAUCAGUAGGGGUUCUGGGAGGAAGGUCCCCCACAUUGGAACUGAGACACGGUCCAAACUCCUACGGGAGGCAGCAGUGAGGAAUAUUGGUCAAUGGACGAGAGUCUGAACCAGCCAAGUAGCGUGCAGGAAGACGGCCCUAUGGGUUGUAAACUGCCUUUAUAAGGGAAUAAAGUGAGUCUCGUGAGACUUUUUGCAUGUACCUUAUGAAUAAGGACCGGCUAAUUCCGUGCCAGCCGCCGCAGUAA
rnacentral:rRNA from 1 species